AUCUUCCGCAAUGGGCGAAAGCCUGACGGAGCAACGCCGCGUGAGUGAUGAAGGGUUUCGGCUCGUAAAACUCUGUUAUUAGGGAAGAACAAAUGUGUAAGUAACUGUGCACACCUUUCCGGUACCUAAUCAUAAAGCCACGGCUAACUACUUGCCGGCAGCCGCGGCAAGACGUAGGUGGCAAGCGUUAUCCGGAAUUAUUGGGCGUAAAGCGCGCGUAGGCGGUUUCUUAAGUCUGAUGUGAAAGCCCACGGCUCAACCGUGGAGGGUCAUUGGAAACUGGGAAACUUGAGUGCAGAAGAGGAAAGUGGAAUUCCAUGUGUAGCGGUGAAAUGCGCAGAGAUAUGGAGGAACACCAGUGGCGAAGGCGACUUUCUGGUCUGUAACUGACGCUGAUGUGCGAAAGCGUGGGGAUCAAACA
rnacentral:rRNA from 1 species